AGAGUUUGAUCAUGGCUCAGGACGAACGCUGGCGGCGUGCUUAACACAUGCAAGUCGAGCGGAAAGGCCCUUCGGGGUACUCGAGCGGCGAACGGGUGAGUAACACGUGAGGAACCUGCCCUCAGCUCCGGGAUAGCUCCGGGAAACCGGAAUUAAUACCGGAUACGACCCUGACUGACAUCGGCCAGGGUGGAAAGGAUUUCCGGCUGAGGAUGGACUCGCGGCCUAUCAGCUAGUUGGUGGAGUAACGGCCCACCAAGGCGACGACGGGUAGCCGGCCUGAGAGGGCGACCGGCCACACUGGGACUGAGACACGGCCCAGACUCCUGCGGGAGGCAGCAGUGGGGAAUAUUGCGCAAUGGGCGAAAGCCUGACGCAGCGACGCCGCGUGGGGGAUGAAGGCCUUCGGGUUGUAAACCCCUUUCAGCAGGGACGAAGCGAGAGUGACGGUACCUGCAGAAGAAGCGCCGGCUAACUACGUGCCAGCAGCCGCGGUAACACGUAGGGCGCAAGCGUUGUCCGGAAUUAUUGGGCGUAAAGAGCUCGUAGGCGGCUGUUACGUCUGCUGUGAAAACCCAGGGCUUAACCCUGGGCUUGCAGUGGAUACGGGCAGACUAGAGGCAGGUAGGGGAGAAUGGAUUCCCGGUGUAGCGGUGAAAUGCGCAGAUAUCGGGAGGAACACGGUGGCGAAGGCGGUUCUCUGGGCCUGACCUGACGCUGAGGAGCGAAAGCGUGGGGAGCGAACAGGAUUAGAUACCCUAGUAGUCC
rnacentral:rRNA from 1 species